rnacentral:lncRNA from 1 species
AGGGACUGUGUGGGGUGUAGCAGAAAGGAUGCAGACUACUGGCUCUCAGAGGAUUGCUACCUGGUGAGAGUGGACACACAAGAGAGCCUGAGAGCUUUAACUGAGAGUUGAAGUUAUUCUGGAGGAGGAAGAAGUGGUCAUGAAUUAAAAUGGAUAUCCAACUGUUCCAUGAGGCAACGAAUGGGGAUUUUACAUAUUAAAUCAGCAUUGUCUGCUGGAGCUCUCUGCUACCUGGGAAGGCUCUGCAUUUGGGCUGUCAAAGCCACAAGCUCAGACAAUGAAGAUGGCAAACUGAAGGGCAAAAAACUUCAUCUUUCAUGAGUGCAAUUUCAAACUUGGUGCCAACGAGAGACAUCUUCCCUGGACUCAAAUGCGCGAAGCCUGAACAGGACAUCUUGAGUGUUAGCUUCUCUGGGAUGGCUGCGGUGUGCAGCACAUUUUUGUUAAGGUGUUAUUCAAAGUUUCUGAUUAACAUAAGUUUUUCUUAAAAUUAUACAAAAACAUAAUACCAUGAUUAUGGAAAUAAAAAGCCACCCACAAGCUUACUAUCUUUA